UCCACAUCUAAUCUAAUUUAAAAUAUAAAAAAAGAAACCUUCCUAUUAAUAGUGUAAUUAAAUUGUUACAUCUAAUUCGACUGGCUGGUUUUCAACGGAUUGUCAUGUUACUGCGACAUCCCUCCAUCUCCCACUUCAGAAGAACUUUGCAGCCUUUUGAUGACCUUUUUGAUGUCCUAGUCGAGAUAAAUGGGAUUAAUGAGAGUAAUGUAACGAGUAGAAUGAAGUUAUGAAGCGACUGAAAGAUUGAAAAAAAAAAAUCUGACAUAUUCUAGAGCAUAUAGUCUUACUGUCUUACAAGUCAUUCCCUUCCUUCCCGUUACUGCAGAAAUUAAAAUAUAAAAUGAUUGCACUUUGCAAAAAAAAUAUUAGAACCUUAGAUUAAAAGCACAUAUAUUGAACUUACAUGAUGUACGGACUAAGGCUGCAUAACAGGACCUCAUUACAAAAUCUUCGAUUAAAAACACAUAAAAAUGGCAAUUAUAAAAUCUAUAAAAUGUUACCUGUAGUGCUUGGCUUUGUAGAUUCUUGGAGCAAUCAACACCAUCUUUAACAGAUUCAGUCACGAUUUUCUUGUUCGAAUAAAGGAACCAAACCUUUCUUCAACCUGAAAUUAUCAUUAUACCAAUAAAAGAACCAAACUUUGCUUCGAUCUGAAAGUAGUGUAAAUUACAAUAAAAGUUGUUGAUAAUCCAACAAGGAGAACAUACUCAAGAGAAACAAUUCGUAGAUAUUAUAUAUAUUUAUAUAUAUGUAUGUGAAUUACAGUCUCCUUGAGAAACUAGUUUACGGCUUCUGCAAGCAGACCCAAGAUUCGCAGCAUUUCCAAAUGCAUAUCAAAUUAUUCAUGUCUCUUUUGCCUUAAGAAACCUAUCAUAUACAAUCAAAUCAUCAGAAGUUAUACAUAUAACUUUAUAACACAUUGUUUUGAAAGAAAAAGUGAUAAAGCUAAGCAUAGGAACACAUUUUAUGUAGUCCAAAUCCACAUCUUCUUUAGUUAAUAAAAAUACACCAAGCACAUUCACCUAUUAGCUAUAAAUAUACAUACACAACACUCAGUUACUAUCUUUCUGCCAUGGUAAAAUUCCAUAUAGCAAUAAAUAAUAAUAAAUAAAAAUUCUCUUCACAGAAAUACAAAUCAAACCCUCGAAAUUUGAUAUAGCAUUAGAGAAAAACCAACCUUAAAUGUUAAGCAUGCAUCAAAACCUCAGAAUUAUUUCCUAACCGGAAAGCUAAUAUAUUCUUGGAUUGCACUCGCACCCCAAUAAAUUCUUGGAUUUCAAUAUGACUAUUCCAAUUUAUUCUAUCUUUUGGAAAAACAUAAAGAAGGCCAAGAAAUAAAUGUACUGUGACUUUACGAGAGAGAGAGAGGGAGAGAGAGAAAGAGAGAGAUUUUACCAGCAUUAAUCCAUCUUCUUUCCACCGAAUCGAAAUCGAAAUUCUCCAU
rnacentral:lncRNA from 1 species